AUUGAACGCUGGCGGCAGGCCUAACACAUGCAAGUCGAACGAGUGGCGGACGGGUGAGUAACGUCUGGGAAACUGCCUGAUGGAGGGGGAUAACUACUGGAAACGGUAGCUAAUACCGCAUACCAUCGGAUGUGCACAGAUGGGAUUAGCUAGUGGGUGGGUUAAACGCUCACCUAGGCGGCGAUCCCUAUCUGGUCUGAGAGGAUGACCAGCGACACUGGAAGUGAGACACGUUCCAGACGCCUGCGGGAGGCAGCAGUUGGGACUAUUGCACAGUGGGCGCAAGCCUGAUGCAGCCAUGCCGCGUGUAUGCAGAAGGCCUUCGGUUUGUAAAGUACUUUCAGCGGGGAGGCGUUACCCGCAGAAGAAGCACCGGCUAACUCCGUGCCAGCAGCCGCGGUAAUAC
rnacentral:rRNA from 1 species